UACGUAGGGCGCAAGCGUUGUCCGGAAUUAUUGGGCGUAAAGAGCUCGUAGGCGGUCUGUCACGUCUGCCGUGAAAACCCGAGGCUUAACCUCGUGGCUUGCGGUGGAUACGGGCAGACUAGAGGUAGGUAGGGGAGAACGGAAUUCCCGGUGUAGCGGUGAAAUGCGCAGAUAUCGGGAGGAACACCGGUGGCGAAGGCGGCAUCCUGGACCAACACUGACACUGAGGAGCGAAAGCCAGGGGAGCAAACGGG
rnacentral:rRNA from 1 species